rnacentral:lncRNA from 1 species
GGGGACAGGGAUACUGGAGUGAUGGAGGUAGAUAUGUAUAGGGGGAAGGGGACAGGGAUACUGGAGAGAUGGAGGUAGAUAUGUAUAGGGGACAGGGAUACUGGAGUGAUGGAGGUAGAUAUGUAUAGGGGACAGGGAUACUGGAGUGAUGGAGGUAGAUAUGUAUAGGGGGAAGGGGACAGGGAUACUGGAGUGAUGGAGGUAGAUAUGUAUAGGGGGAAGGGGACAGGGAUACUGGAGUGAUGGAGGUAGAUAUGUAUAGGGGGAAGGGGACAGGGAUACUGGAGUGAUGGAGGUAGAUAUGUAUAGGGGGAAGGAGACAGGGAUACUGGAGUGAUGGAGGUAGAUAUGUAUAGGGGACAGGGAUACUGGAGUGAUGGAGGUAGAUAUGUAUAGGGGGAAGGGGACAGGGAUACUGGAGUGAUGGAGGUAGAUAUGUAUAGGGGGAAGGAGACAGGGAUACUGGAGUGAUGGAGGUAGAUAUGUAUAGGGGACAGGGAUACUGGAGUGAUGGAGGUAGAUAUGUAUAGGGGGAAGGGGACAGGGAUACUGGAGUGAUGGAGGUAGAUAUGUAUAGGGGGAAGGGGACAGGGAUACUGGAGUGAUGGAGGUAGAUAUGUAUAGGGGACAGGGAUACUGGAGUGAUGAAG